rnacentral:rRNA from 1 species
AACGGUAGGUCAGCAUGCCCCGAAUUAUCCGGGCUACACGCGGGCUACAAUGGUCAGGACAAUGGGUAUCGACACCGAGAGGUGAGGCAAUCUCCUAAACCUGUCCUUAGUUCGGAUUGUGGGCUGCAACUCGCCCACAUGAAGCUGGAAUCCGUAGUAAUCGCGUUUCAAAAUAGCGCGGUGAAUAUGUCCCUGCUUCUU